CCUACGGGACUGCAGUGAGGAAUAUUUGUCAAUGUGCGAGAGCCUGAACCAGCCAAGUCGCGUGAAGGAUGAAGGAUCUAUGGUUUGUAAACUUCUUUUAUAUGGGGAUAAAGUGAGGAACGUGUUCCUUUUUGUAUGUACCAUAUGAAUAAGCAUCGGCUAACUCCGUGCCAGCAGCCGCGGUAAUACGGAGGAUGCGAGCGUUAUCCGGAUUUAUUGGGUUUAAAGGGUGCGUGGGUGGUUAAUUAAGUCAGCGGUGAAAGUUUGUGGCUCAACCAUAAAAUUGCCGUUGAAACUGGUUGACUUGAGUAUAUUUGAGGUAGGCGGAAUGCGUGGUGUAGCGGUGAAAUGCAUAGAUAUCACGAAGAACUCCGAUUGCGAAGGCAGUUCACUGGAUUGCAACUGACACUGAGGCUCGAAAGUGUGGGUAUCAAACAGGAUUAGAUACCCUAGUAGUC
rnacentral:rRNA from 1 species